rnacentral:rRNA from 1 species
CGACGCAACGCGAAGAACCUUACCCAGGCUCGAACGGCUCUGGACAGCUGUGGAAACACAGUCUCUUCCCUUCGGGGAAGUCGGAGUCGAGGUGCUGCAUGGCUGUCGUCAGCUCGUGUCGUGAGAUGUUGGGUUAAGUCCCGCAACGAGCGCAACCCUUGUCGUUAGUUACCAGCGGGUCAUGCCGGGGACUCUAGCGAGACUGCCCGUGAUAAACGGGAGGAAGUGGGGAUGACGUCAAGUCCUCAUGGCCCUUACGUCUGGGGCUACACACGUGCUACAAUGGCCGGUACAGAGAGAAGCAAGCCCGCGAGGGGGAGCAAACCUUUAAAACCGGUCCCAGUUCGGAUCGGAGUCUGCAAUUCGACUCCGUGAAGUUGGAAUCGCUAGUAAUCGCGGAUCAGCACGCCGCGGUGAAUACGUUCCCGGGCCUU